rnacentral:rRNA from 1 species
UACGGAGGGGGCUAGCGUUGUUCGGAAUUACUGGGCGUAAAGCGCACGGAGGCGGCUUUGUAAGUUAGAGGUGAAAGCCCGGGGCUCAACUCCGGAAUUGCCUUUAAGACUGCAUCGCUAGAAUUGUGGAGAGGUAAGUGGAAUUCCGAGUGUAGAGGUGAAAUUCGUAGAUAUUCGGAAGAACACCAGUGGCGAAGGCGACUUACUGGACACAUAUUGACGCUGAGGUGCGAAAGCGUGGGGAGCAAACAGG